UCUUAUGAAUGAGCAAAUAAAGUGGUAUCUUGAGAUGGAAUCUACUCCUAGUGAAAAUACUGUGAA
rnacentral:pre_miRNA from 5 species